UACGUAGGGAGCAAGCGUUGUUCGGAUUUACUGGGCGUAAAGGGCGCGUAGGCGGCAACUCAAGUCAUCUGUGAAAUCUCCGGGCUUAACCCGGAAACUGCCAUUGAUACUAUAGAUCUUGAAUAUCCUGGAGGUGAGCGGAAUAUGUCAUGUAGCGGUGAAAUGCUUAGAUAUGACAUAGAACACCAAUUGCGAAGGCAGCUCACUACGGGAUCAUUGACACUGAGGCACGAAAGCGUGGGGAUCAAACAGG
rnacentral:rRNA from 1 species